AUGACUCAACUCUACAACUUACUGUACAUAGUGAGAUACACAACACUAAUUCUCACUGUAGCUACAGGCAGUUUUGCAGAUAAAAUUGGGCCGACAGAUGAAGAUGUCAAUGGGAAGGAAACAGAAACUGUUACUCUCAAAUGUUCAUAUGAGACAAAUAAUCAAUACAUUUUGCUUUACUGGUACAAACAAAAUCCAAACAGUGCACCACAGUUUUUACUGUAUAAAGGCGCACGAUCAGAAAGUGCAGAGCGUAAACCCACUGACACUCGAUUAGAGUCCAAAACUACCAGCGACUCUACUGAACUUAUUAUCAGAGGUCUAAAGCUCUCAGAUUCUGCUCUCUAUCACUGCAGGUAA